GGAGACGCUGCUGCGAUAAACACCACAGAAAAUUAACAAGAUUUUAGACAGGUGGGAUCUAUAAAGCAAAGAUUGCGUGGUUUGGUGCGUGUGGUGGGUUUUCUAAAUAUGGAGUUUGCGUGGCGCACGAAUGUCGUAGCUACUAGCCAAGAAGGUCUGGCUGCAGACACAUGGGGAAAGUGGAGCUCCACUCCAGACCGGAAACACGUGACCUCCACCGAAGACGUCAUCUCUACUUUUAUGUAGACCUAUGGGGGACGAAAACGAUUUAUUUUGACCGCAAUUAAAUGUUUAUUAAAUAAGAUUGUUUUUACGUUAUGGAAUUUGUUCGCACAUACAAACACAGAGCAAAACGACCAUCUGGAAGACGGAGAAAACAUGGGUAAAGAAGCCCACGGAGUGAUUUAAUGAAGCUACGAGGAGAAAACUUGUAAACACUUGGCCAGUAUAAGUCUUCCUGUAUGAGAACACAACACACUGCUGGGGCCACAGAAAUGUUGGCUGAUGAGACGCUCAUGAUUCAUGAAAUGGGUCAAAUGCAGAUGACAAAGAAAAGUCAACAGCAGGAGGUGCUGACCCAGACUUCUGCCUCUGUUUAGGUCUGGGACAUGUUACAUUGAAAACUCCAAUAAUAAUAAAUGAAUCAGGCUCAUGUUGAAAUCAUUAUUUAAUUUUCUGAAAAUACACAUUUCUCAAAUGUGUGAUAUUUAGCUGUUUGGAUUUAUGUAAUAGUUUUCUUAAUGUGUGUGUCAUUACAGGUUUUCACUCUGCAGACAGAAAUUUCAACCAGUCAGACGUAAGGCCCAUUCUGCUCUUCCUCCUCCAGAAAACGAGAGAUAUGUCAGACUGAAUGAUCCAAGUACACUGGGUCAUGUCUCCACUGUCCAUGUCCAGACUCACAGAGGAGGAGGAGGAGGAGGUCCAGACUGUAGACCUGUGGGGCCUCUGGUUGCAUCAGGCCUCCCUCCUGCACAUUCUGUUUGCUGCUGUUCCUAAUGUGUCCUAAUAGAGAUGUGUCCAUAAAGAUUAGGUUUAACGUUUUAUUUCCUCCAGAAGUGAAACAGUAAAAUGGUGGUUUCUGUUCGUCUUAGCUGAAGAGCACCUAAACAGCUUUAUCACUGAGGAAGUGUCCCAUGAUAAAUGUGGCCUUAUAUGAUCUUAACAAGUGUAUGAGACAAAACUAGUCAUAUAAGUUGCUCAUAAUAAGUUUUUC